rnacentral:rRNA from 1 species
UACGAAGGGGGCUAGCGUUGUUCGGAUUUACUGGGCGUAAAGCGCACGUAGGCGGAUCGAUCAGUCAGGGGUGAAAUCCCAGGGCUCAACCCUGGAACUGCCUUUGAUACUGUCGAUCUGGAGUAUGGAAGAGGUGAGUGGAAUUCCGAGUGUAGAGGUGAAAUUCGUAGAUAUUCGGAGGAACACCAGUGGCGAAGGCGGCUCACUGGUCCAUUACUGACGCUCAGGCGCGAUAGCGUGGGGAUCAAACAGG